AGUGAACGCUGGCGGUAGGCCUAACACAUGCAAGUCGAACGGCAGCACAGGAGAGCUUGCUCUCUGGGUGGCGAGUGGCGGACGGGUGAGGAAUACAUCGGAAUCUACUCUGUCGUGGGGGAUAACGUAGGGAAACUUACGCUAAUACCGCAUACGACCUACGGGUGAAAGCAGGGGAUCUUCGGACCUUGCGCGAUUGAAUGAGCCGAUGUCGGAUUAGCUAGUUGGCGGGGUAAAGGCCCACCAAGGCGACGAUCCGUAGCUGGUCUGAGAGGAUGAUCAGCCACACUGGAACUGAGACACGGUCCAGACUCCUACGGGAGGCAGCAGUGGGGAAUAUUGGACAAUGGGCGCAAGCCUGAUCCUGCCAUACCGCGUGGGUGAAGAAGGCCUUCGGGUUGUAAAGCCCCUUUGUUGGGAAAGAAAUCCAGCUGGCUAAUACCCGGUUGGGAUGACGGUACCCAAAGAAUAAGCACCGGCUAACUUCGUGCCAGCAGCCGCGGUAA
rnacentral:rRNA from 1 species